CUGUAACAAGGUUUCCGUAGGUGAACCUGCGGAGGAUCAUUG
rnacentral:rRNA from 1 species